GUGGGAAUCUGGCCUCUAGAGGGGGAUAACUCGGGGAAACUCGGGCUAAUACCGCAUAAUCUCUAAGGAGGAAAGCGGGGGACCGAAAGGCCUCGCGCUGGGGGAUGAGCCUGCGUCCGAUUAGCUAGUUGGUGGGGUAAGGGCCUACCAAGGCGAUGAUCGGUAGCUGGUCUGAGAGGACGAUCAGCCACACUGGGACUGAGACACGGCCCAGACUCCUACGUGAGGCAGCAGUGGGGAAUAUUGGACAAUGGGGGCAACCCUGAUCCAGCAAUGCCGCGUGGGUGAAGAAGGCUUUCGGGUUGUAAAGCCCUUUCAGUGGGGAAGAAAAGCGAUGUGUGAAUAGCACAUCGUGUUGACGUUACCUACAGAAGAAGCACCGGCUAACUCCGUGCCAGCAGCCGCGGUAAUACGGAGGGUGCGAGCGUUAAUCGGAAUUACUGGGCGUAAAGGGCGCGUAGGCGGUUUGGUAAGUUGGGUGUGAAAGCCCCGGGCUCAACCUGGGAAUGGCACUUGAUACUGCCUGGCUAGAGUAUGGUAGAGGGAGGCGGAAUUUCCGGUGUAGCGGUGAAAUGCGUAGAUAUCGGAAGGAACACCAGUGGCGAAGGCGGCCUCCUGGACCACUACUGACGCUGUAGGUGCGAAAGCGUGGGGAGCAACACAGGAUUAGAUACCCUGGUAGUCCACGCCCUAGACGAUGAGACUAGACGUUGGGAGGGAUAGCCUUUCAGUGUUGCAGCUAACGCGUUAAGUUCUCCGCCUGGGGAGUACGGCCGCAAGGUUGAAACUCAAAUGAAUUGACGGGGGCCCGCACAAGCGGUGGAGCAUGUGGUUUAAUUCGAUGCAACGCGAAGAACCUUACCUGGCCUUGACAUCCCCGGAACUUUGCUGAGAGGCGAAGGUGCCUUCGGGAGCCGGGAGACAGGUGCUGCAUGGCUGUCGUCAGCUCGUG
rnacentral:rRNA from 1 species